rnacentral:rRNA from 1 species
UCGAGCGGUAGCACAGAGAGCUUGCUCUCGGGUGACGAGCGGCGGACGGGUGAGUAAUGUCUGGGAAACUGCCUGAUGGAGGGGGAUAACUACUGGAAACGGUAGCUAAUACCGCAUAACGUCGCAAGACCAAAGUGGGGGACCUUCGGGCCUCAUGCCAUCAGAUGUGCCCAGAUGGGAUUAGCUAGUAGGUGGGGUAACGGCUCACCUAGGCGACGAUCCCUAGCUGGUCUGAGAGGAUGACCAGCCACACUGGAACUGAGACACGGUCCAGACUCCUACGGGAGGCAGCAGUGGGGAAUAUUGCACAAUGGGCGCAAGCCUGAUGCAGCCAUGCCGCGUGUGUGAAGAAGGCCUUCGGGUUGUAAAGCACUUUCAGCGGGGAGGAAGGCGUUAAGGUUAAUAACCUUGUCGAUUGACGUUACCCGCAGAAGAAGCACCGGCUAACUCCGUGCCAGCAGCCGCGGUAAUACGGAGGGUGCAAGCGUUAAUCGGAAUUACUGGGCGUAAAGCGCACGCAGGCGGUCUGUCAAGUCGGAUGUGAAAUCCCCGGGCUCAACCUGGGAACUGCAUUCGAAACUGGCAGGCUAGAGUCUUGUAGAGGGGGGUAGAAUUCCAGGUGUAGCGGUGAAAUGCGUAGAGAUCUGGAGGAAUACCGGUGGCGAAGGCGGCCCCCUGGACAAAGACUGACGCUCAGGUGCGAAAGCGUGGGGAGCAAACAGGAUUAGAUACCCUGGUAGUCCACGCCGUAAACGAUGUCGAUUUGGAGGUUGUGCCCUUGAGGCGUGGCUUCCGGAGCUAACGCGUUAAAUCGACCGCCUGGGGAGUACGGCCGCAAGGUUAAAACUCAAAUGAAUUGACGGGGGCCCGCACAAGCGGUGGAGCAUGUGGUUUAAUUCGAUGCAACGCGAAGAACCUUACCUGGUCUUGACAUCCACAGAACUUUCCAGAGAUGGAUUGGUGCCUUCGGGAACUGUGAGACAGGUGCUGCAUGGCUGUCGUCAGCUCGUGUUGUGAAAUGUUGGGUUAAGUCCCGCAACGAGCGCAACCCUUAUCCUUUGUUGCCAGCGGUUAGGCCGGGAACUCAAAGGAGAUCUGCCAGUGAUAAACUGGAGGAAGGUGGGGAUGACGUCAAGUCAUCAUGGCCCUUACGACCAGGGCUACACACGUGCUACAAUGGCAUAUACAAAGAGAAGCGACCUCGCGAGAGCAAGCGGACCUCAUAAAGUAUGUCGUAGUCCGGAUUGGAGUCUGCAACUCGACUCCAUGAAGUCGGAAUCGCUAGUAAUCGUAGAUCAGAAUGCUACGGUGAAUACGUUCCCGGGCCUUGUACACACCGCCCGUCACACCAUGGGAGUGUGUGCAAAAGAAGUAGGUAGCUUAAC